rnacentral:rRNA from 1 species
GAUAAACGCUGGCGGCGUGCCUUAUGCAUGCAAGUCGUACGAGUUCUAGGACUUCGGUUCUAGAGCUGUGGCGGACGGGUGAGUAACACGUACGUAACCUGUCCGAAAGUGGGGAAUAACCCCGCGAAAGCGGGGCUAAUACCGCAUAUGGUCGCCGGUGAAAGACCGGUGGACAAAAGCCUUACGGCGCUUUCGGAGGGGCGUGCGGUCGAUUAGCUAGUUGGUGUGGUAACGGCGCACCAAGGCGACAAUCGGUAGCUGGUCUGAGAGGACGGCCAGCCACACGGGGACUGAGACACGGCCCCGACUCCUACGGGAGGCAGCAGCAAGGAAUUUUGCGCAAUGGGCGAAAGCCUGACGCAGCAACGCCGCGUGGGGGAUGAAGGCCUUCGGGUCGUAAACCCCUUUUGUAGGGGAAGCAACUGACGGUACCCUGCGAAUAAGCCACGGCUAACUACGUGCCAGCAGCCGCGGUAAUACGUAGGUGGCAAGCGUUGUCCGGAUUUACUGGGCGUAAAGGGAGCGCAGGUGGCUCAUCAAGUCUGGGGUGAAAUCUCCCGGCUCAACCGGGAGGGGUCUCUGGAAACUGAUGGGCUUGAGGGAAGCAGAGGAGAGCGGAAUUCCCGGUGUAGCGGUGAUAUGCGUAGAUAUCGGGAGGAACACCAGUGGCGAAGGCGGCUCUCUGGGCUUUUCCUGACGCUGAGGCUCGAAAGCGUGGGGAGCAAAAAACCGGAUUAGAUACCCGGGUAGUCCACGCCGUAAACGUUGGACACUAGGUGUGGGGGGUAUUGACCCCCUCCGUGCCGCAGCUAACGCAUUAAGUGUCCCGCCUGGGGAGUACGGCCGCGAGGCUAAAACUCAAAGGAAUUGACGG